rnacentral:rRNA from 1 species
CCUACGGGUGGCAGCAGUGGGGAAUAUUGCACAAUGGGGGAAACCCUGAUGCAGCGACGCCGCGUGAGUGAAGAAGUAUUUCGGUACGUAAAGCUCUAUCAGCAGGGAAGAAAAUGACGGUACCUGACUAAGAAGCCCCGGCUAACUACGUGCCAGCAGCCGCGGUAAUACGUAGGGGGCAGGCGUUAUCCGGAUUUACUGGGUGUAAAGGGAGCGUAGACGGCAGCGCAAGUCUGGAGUGAAAUCCCAUGGCUUAACCAUGGAACUGCUUUGGAAACUGUGCAGCUAGAGUGCAGGAGAGGUAAGCGGAAUUCCUAGGGUAGAGGUGAAAUGCGUAGAUAUUAGGAGGAACACCAGUGGCGAAGGCGGCUUACUGGACUGUAACUGACGUUGAGGCUCGAAAGCGUGGGGAGCAAACAGGAUUAGAUACCCGAGUAGUC